rnacentral:pre_miRNA from 1 species
AUUAUACUCCCUCCAUUCGGAAUUACUUGUCUCGGAAAUGGAUGUAUCUAGAACUAAAAUACAUCUAGAUACAUCCAUUUCUACGACAAGUAAUUCCAAACGGAGGGAGUACAUC